GAAAUCCAAGACUUAGCAUUACAUCCAUAAUUCAUUAUAUCCCAUUCUCAUGAAUAAAGCAUUAUGUCUUGUAUAGUUAAAUGGGCCAUUUCUUCAACUUUCAUAAAAUGCAUAGUAUUAGAACCACUAUGGAAAAUUAUACUCUAGGUGCACCAGCUCAAAACUAAUAUCACAACAGAAAAGCAUAUAUUAGAGUAACAGACAUUUGAACAACUGAAACACAUGAUUAUGAUAUGCUGUUAGUAAAACUUUACAAAUUCAGCCAGAGUCAUGCUCUAGAUUAGUUGGAAGCUGGAAGUCUCAGCAAGCAUAGAUUUGAAUAAGGUGGACAUAAAGCAGUUCAAAAGUCAAAAGAUAUCAGCUCAGUGUGAACAUUCUAAGAUUAGUACCAAAACACAGUCAUUUCUAUCUCUGUUCAUCCAAUGUCUAAACUAGAGCAAAUCACUUGCAAGUGAGUGAUGAAACUGUCCCACUUUUGGUUUGAAGGAUGACAUGGUUUCUGUUAUCCUUGAAAUCUCAUUCAGAUCUCUAGCAAAUGCCUCCUUGCAUGCAGCCUCUUGUUCACAAAUCGCUCGAAUCCUUGCUUCAAGUGCCAUUUUCUCUGUUUCACAUUCUUCCAGCUCUUCCUCUCUUGCUUCAACGGCUCUCCGGAUGCUUUCUCGCUUCUCUUUCAACACGCAACAUUGUGUCAUAAUCCUGCUCGCUUCGAGAACAUCUUGGAGUCUCUGAAGAAGCCAACCAACUCCAAUCUUAUAUUCUUAAAUUCUUUGACAAGGCCAAUCAUAUCUUGCAGGUAAUCUUGGUCGAUUCUACCUAAAUCCUUGUCCUGCAACUCUCGGAUUAUGUCGAUUAUCAUCCCCAGGUGAUUCUUGAGCAUAAGGUGGAGCCUGACAUGCCUACAAUUAGGCACAGCCUCUUGCCCAACAUCUGCCCAAACAAACAAACCACACCAUCUUUUACCAAUUGUCUGCAAUCAACGAAUGUUUCAAUAACCAAAUUAGAAGUUGGAGAAUGAAUGAAAAAUCAGGGAAAACCAACAAUUACAGCUAACAUUAUAAUUUGGACAUCCAAAAAAGGGCUUAUUUGGGUUGGAAUAUGUCCCAGACCACUGGAGCACAGGUCGGCAGCCGCAACCACACCAUUCUGGUACACGCGUAGCCCUGCUACGAUUUUGGGUCUUCGUCCUGUAUCCAUUGCUUGUUGACCGUAUCGAGCUCCCACUGGCUUGCCCUUCACCUCCAAACAUUACUUCAGAGCUUCAAUGGUGGAUCAGAAUUAUGGGACGAAAGAGAGAAGAGAUACUAGUUAUAAUAAUGAUUCUUAGCUUUUAAGGUUUUAAUGGGACCAGGGACCACAUUGGGUACAAAAUUCAGAUUUGCCACAUCAGCUAGCCGUUGCUGGCUCCAGCAUGGCAUUGGAGGUGCCAGAUCAUCCCUCCGUUCGCUGACUUGGCGCCGGAAAGGGUUGCAGGACAACUAUGGGUCCCGAAGCUGAAUGUGAGGGAUGCUGUUAGGGAAUUUUGAAAGUCAAGGACAAAUAUGGGUAACUUGCCCAAUCUCAGGGACCACUUUGGGGUUUUAGUCGCAAAUUGUAUUGAUUUAUGGGUAUAAAAUGUAUUAAUUCAUGUGUACAAAACUCUAGUAAAUAUAGGUGCAAAUUAUAUAUUUUUUGUAUGCAAAACGUCUGUAAAUAUGGGUGCAAAUUAUUGCUGUUUAAGUGCUGGUCAAAAAUGACAAUAUUUGCUGGCCAUGUAGCAUUACUUUAAUAAAAUAAACAUCACCCAUACUAUCCAGAAUAACCAUCCGGAUACUAGGGAUAAUAAACAUCUCAUGUCAUAAAACUAUUUAUCCCAAAAGCUUAAACUAAUUUUGGGGUUCACCAAGGAUCAAACUCUUG